GUGCUCCACAGGAGAAGCCACCGCAGUGGGAAGCCCGCACGCUGCAGUGAAGACACAGCACAGCCAAAACAUAAACUGAUUUCAGAGAGCUUCCCUCGUAGCCCACUGGUGAAGACUCCAUGCUUCCACCCCAGGAGGUCGGGUUUAAUCCCUGGUCAGGGAACUAAGAUCCUACACAGUGCAAGGCGUGGCCAAAAGCAAAAACAGAAACCUAAUUCCAACCAUGCUCCUUCUCAGCUUACAAGACCUCCAGCAGCUUCCCUGUGCUCAUGGGCCUGCAAGGUCCUCUGUGCCUCCCCUUGGGCCUACUCCUGCUUGUCUCUAGUUCUUGCCUCCAGAAGGCAUUUCUCUAAAAUAACUACCCCUAGCCCUUUGAGUCACAUCCCAUGUUAAUCUCCUGCUAGUCCUCGUCACAGCCUGAAGCAUUCUUCGCUAUGGGUUUGAUUACUUAUUGUCCAUCUCACCGCCCUCCCAGGAAACAUAGCCUCGCCUCCAGCUCCUAGCACGUGACCUGGUGCGCAGAGGGCACUGACGUUUGUUGACUGAUUGGCUGGACUGAGACCACGAGGCUGUGAAAGAUGUAACAGUUAGACUUGGCUCAUCUGACAAGGAAGUAAAGCAGCUGACAUUCAUGAAACCCUUGGUGGAUGCUGGCCACACGAACAUGAGAGAUGGGACUGGAAAAUGAAAUGAACCAGUCUUCAUCCUUGAUCAGCCAGAGGAUCUUCAGCCCCGCCCCUUGUCUCCACCUUCCGAACCCAGGAAAAGUCCGCCGGUGAGAAUCUGACCGGAGACAAGCACGGCCUAGGUGGUGGCUCAGCCCUGCCACCUCCCAGCAGGGUGAUUGUGAAGAAAUCUCUUAACCUGUCCAGGCUUCAGCUUUUCCAUCUGCAUUUUGGGGAUGAUGAUAAGACAAAACUCACAGCGCUGUCCUGAGGCUUAAAGGAGGGUAAUUCAGGCUCUUAGUGCAGUGCCCGGCCACAAGAUAAAAUACACCGAAAGUUCCUCUGAGGGGCUGCUGACACCGGGAGCAUCCUGCUGUGAUGAUGGUACUAAAAGAGGGACUAGGAGUUACUUGUCAACAGUGUGUAUGUUGGACUUGCAUUUGUGUUUAUUUACAUGUCAGUUACAGGCCUGAGAGAAAAGGUCUCGUCUUGCCUCUUUGGCACAGGUUCAGAAAUCUCACAUGGAUUGUGGAAAUAAAGUUUCUG